UUGUAGCAAUACAAUGCCGGCGACCGGCGAAAGGGUGAGUAACGCGUGAGCAACAUGCCCGAUACUGGAGGAUAGUCGAUGGAAACGUCGCGUAAUACUCCGUAACAACAGAGACCGCAUGGUUUUUGUUUAAUAGAUUUAUCGGUAUCGGAUUGGCUCGCGUCCCAUUAGGCAGUUGGCGGGGUAACGGCCCACCAAACCGACGAUGGGUAGGGGUUCUGAGAGGAAGGUCCCCCACAUUGGAACUGAGACACGGUCCAGACUCCUACGGGAGGCAGCAGUGAGGAAUAUUGGUCAAUGGCCGAGAGGCUGAACCAGCCAUGCCGCGUGCGGGAGGACGGCCCUAUGGGUUGUAAACCGCUUUUGUUGGGGAGCAAUAAGGAGCACGUGUGCUUCGAUGAGAGUACCCAGCGAAUAAGCAUCGGCUAACUCCGUGCCAGCAGCCGCGGUAAUACGGAGGAUGCAAGCGUUAUCCGGAUUUAUUGGGUUUAAAGGGUGCGUAGGCGGACGAUUAAGCGUGAGGUGAAAUGCCCGGGCUCAACCUGGGAACUGCCUCGCGAACUGGUCGUCUGGAAUGCUCCUGCCGUGGGAGGAAUGUGUGGUGUAGCGGUGAAAUGCAUAGAGAUCACACAGAACACCGAUUGCGAAGGCAUCUCACGAAGGGGUAAUUGACGCUGA
rnacentral:rRNA from 1 species